CCAAUAAUUGGAAAAGGAUUUGAUUUGCUAUAUUCAGGAAUUUACCACCACCUCUGGCUGCAGGUUCACAACCAGCAUUACAUUACUACCAAUCUAAUAGUAUGGCUAUUUCCCCUGAACUACCACAGUAGUUUAACAUGAAAUGUAACUCUAUGUAGUUGCUAUGUUUUAAGGAAAAAAAUUUUAGCAAAAUGCAUGUAGUAAGUAUACCCUAUCAUGAAAACUUACUCAUGGAAUCCAUUCAGCAUGCUCAGUUAAUUGCUAGUUCUUUAUAAUUCCUCAUUUAUACAGUAGAUAUUUCCCUCAAUUUAAUUGUUCUUAAAAUGAAUUUUCAGUUUUCUAGUUUAGUGACACCUUCUGCUAAAUUUCCAUGUUUACCAAUAAUCUCAUAAUUGGGAAUCUAAUAUUCAAUGGCAGUCAGUGAUGACUGCAUCACAGUGAAUAAAAUGACCUUCCAGACAUUCAGCUGUUUCAGGCUGAAGAUUAAGGGUCUCUUUCUGGGUUGUCACUAAGUACUGUUUGUCACAGAACUCUUUCAGGGUAGGGGAACAUACCCAAAUUAAGAGUUACUUCAUCUUAUACUGGUCUUAUACUCCCUUAAAUCAGGCAUCCCAUGUGAAAUACCUAAGUCCCUGAUAUGAAUCUCAUGCUCUUCCCCAAUGGGAUCAAAAACAAGGGGGAAGAAAAAGGCCUUUGACUAAGAUAUGGAUGAGAGUGAAAGGUCAUUUUUAUGUAGACUUCGUUAGCCUUUUGUAAAUAUUGUAACUGGCAAGUAUAAAAUAGAAAAAUAUAGCUAAAGCAUUUGCUCUGUAAGUUGUUAACCUUUAAAUAUAUAAUUACUGCUAAAAAUAGUCCUUACACUUAAGGAAAAUUGGUGCCAUUUUGAAAAUGAGAUCUUGUGCCAUAAAUGCAGCUGAAUUAAAUAUAAAUAGUUCACAAACUAGUGCUGUCAAAGAAAUGAAUAAAGUAGAAAAACCUAAGCAAUAAUGUUUCAUUCUGAAUUAUGUAGUGUAAUAAACUUGGAUCAUGCAGGA